GACGAACGCUGGCGGCGUGCCUAAUACAUGCAAGUAGAACGCUGAAGCUUGGUGCUUGCACCGAGCGGAUGAGUUGCGAACGGGUGAGUAACGCGUAGGUAACCUGCCUGGUAGCGGGGGAUAACUAUUGGAAACGAUAGCUAAUACCGCAUAACAGUAGAUAUCGCAUGAUAGCUACUUGAAAGGUGCAAAUGCACCACUACCAGAUGGACCUGCGUUGUAUUAGCUAGUUGGUGAGGUAACGGCUCACCAAGGCAACGAUACAUAGCCGACCUGAGAGGGUGAUCGGCCACACUGGGACUGAGACACGGCCCAGACUCCUACGGGAGGCAGCAGUAGGGAAUCUUCGGCAAUGGACGGAAGUCUGACCGAGCAACGCCGCGUGAGUGAAGAAGGUUUUCGGAUCGUAAAGCUCUGUUGUAAGAGAAGAACGAGUGUGAGAGUGGAAAGUUCACACUGUGACGGUAUCUGACCAGAAAGGGACGGCUAACUACGUG
rnacentral:rRNA from 1 species